rnacentral:rRNA from 1 species
UACGAAGGGGGCUAGCGUUGCUCGGAAUCACUGGGCGUAAAGCGCACGUAGGCGGCUUUUUAAGUCAGGGGUGAAAUCCUGGAGCUCAACUCCAGAACUGCCUUUGAUACUGAGAAGCUUGAGUCCGGGAGAGGUGAGUGGAACUGCGAGUGUAGAGGUGAAAUUCGUAGAUAUUCGCAAGAACACCAGUGGCGAAGGCGGCUCACUGGGUCUUUUCUGACGCUGAUGCACGAAAGCUAGGGGAGCAAACGGG